ACCUCAGUGAGUUGAGCUGCAUGCCAGUCUUCCUGAAUUUGGGAACUGCUUAGUAAUGAAGACAAGUAUUCUGCGUAAUGAAUAAUAAGUAGAAAUCACAGUUGCAUCAAAUAAAAUCAUCUGGAGAAGAGCAUCUAGCGAGAACAGAAGGAUCUCCUCCCACGGUUCUGUGAUGGGACUCUCCUAAGAGUGGCUUCAGGCUGCCCUGGGGCACCUGACCUUUGUGACUUGAAGUGGCAUCUUUUGGUGAAUUCCAGGGGUUUCACUUUUUAAAGAGAAGGAGCAAGUGACUUUCUAUUUCAGCAGUGCUUGGUAUUCAGCAUGCUCCAUUGCCACGAGGAAAUGCAGAAGCAGGAAAUAAGGGAAACUUAAUUAAAUUGCAAAUCUCCGUAGAAAUCUUUGUGAUCUACUUUUGCGAGUGAGAAGUCUUUCAAGAUUAUGCCAAUCAGCUUUUGGAUCCAUAUCUGAAAUAGCUACUGCCAUUUUCUUUCAUUUUACCAUUUCCUACUGUGUAUCUCGGCCACUUUCCAUUCUGCUGGCCAUAGCACAAAAAUGCUCCUCACUUCAAGAGUGAGGAGGAAGCCAUUGGCACUGGGGAGGCUGGCAGACUCCAUGAAAAACACUGAUUUGAUAGUUUACUGCUGUAAAGCUAUGCAAAUCUGUCUCUGAGACAUUCCAGAAUCAAUAUGCAUUGAUAAUCUCUAAAAUCCAAAACCAAUCAGGUUUAAUCGUGACAUGCCUUAUUAGGCACACAUUUCUUUUUUAGUGCAAUGUGAAUAUGCCUGAGGAAAAUUAAGAUGCAGUUAACUGCUUCUGUGGAACAUCCCAAGGCAGUGCACUACAUCCCUGUCAAAUCCAUGCAGUUCAUAUGAGGAAUUCCAGUAUAAUCUCAGACAAAUAGACAUCUUGUGCACCUUCCUCUGCCUGGUACUUCUGAGUAAAACCAGCAUGCGGGUCUCUGGAUCAUGCUGCAACCAGGCCAAACCAUGCUGCAACUUGGCCAGACCCUCAAAAGGAACCAAGAUUUCAGCAGGAAUUAAGUCUGUCUGCUCUGCUUGAAUAAAGCCUUUGCUCCUUUCACAGCAGUUUAGAGGCUGCCUGGGAGUAGAGGUGUGCUUUUCAAAAGAAAAUAGCUUUAAAUACACUCCCUGUUAACUAGAAGGUAAUCCUACACAAAUAAUAAAGACUUGGCUGUGAAAAUGUUUUUGCCCCUGCUUGUAACUCUCCUGACAGAAAAAAAAAAAAAACUUGAUGCAAGACUAAGCCUGCAGUACCUGCACCUGCACUUGUAGAAAGUGCGAUCCUGUUCCAGUGAAAGUCAGUGGGAAUUCUGCUCUCACCUCCAAUAAGGUCACUCUUUCUGCCUGUGAGCAGUCAGACUAGUGAAAGGGACUGUGUGCAAAUCAGUUACUCCAUGAAUGCAAAUGUUUAUAGGGGGUUGUGUCCAUGUUUUUAAUUAUCUCCUAAAUUAAAGAUUAAUUAUU